rnacentral:tRNA from 1 species
GCCUAAGUUAGCUUAGUUGGUAGUGCGUCUGCCUUGUAAGCGCUAGGCCGCGGGUUCGAUUCCCGCCCGGGGCG